GUCACACUUGAAACCUCCUCUCCCUCGCCCUCAUUUCAGGGGACAGCUUUGUUUCAAUGACUGGAACAUUUAUAUCAUAUUGUCAAAUGUGCAAACUUCAGUUACCAGCUUCUACUGAACUUGAAUUUUUCUUGGUUAAACGUCUCUGAAGAUUAACAAUCAGGAGUAAAGGCACUUAAUGCUUUGAGCCAUUCCAGUUACACCACACAGGAAGGUGACCAUGAAACUUAGAGGUAAUUCUUGGCAGUUUUCCUGAACUCGAUUAACUUUCAUAAGGAAAAUGACUGCAGCAAAAGAACAGGUAUAGAAACGUGUCUGAAUGGAAACCAGGUGUUAAAGAAUUCAAUGUUACACCAAUAAACACAGAUGCUGGAAGAAAGAAUUCCAGAAAGAAACAGAUAAGGAAAAGAAGGAAAAGAGGAAGAAGGAGAAAGUUG